AAACCGUUCAGGGGUAAACCUGAGAAACCCAAAAGAUCGAAUGGGGAGAUUCAUCGUCAGCAUAUUUUGUAUAUAUGCAAGUUAUGAUAUGGGUUACUCUUGUAGUAUCCCCCGUACAUUCUUGUAUAUUUUAUUGCAAUAUAUUGUCGGCGUGCACUUCUCCCCUAGUAGAACGUCGCGACCCGUUGAGUGUCGGUCUACGGCCCAGGUGGUAGCCUUUAAUUUUUUUUAAAAAUUGAAGACCCUUGGUGUUUCCUGACUGGCUGCUCGGCGGUAUUCGUACGGUAUUAAGCCGCAUUUAUGCGUUCAUAUCCGUCGCAAGCGUGGUGAAUUUUUAGCAGUACGGACCUAGCGCCGUCGUUAUAAUUCACCCGCUGUUGGCUGUACGGUGUUCUAGAACUGGCUUUUUAUAUACCGGUCAGCGAUGCUUCAGCUUUGGGUACUUUCAGGA
rnacentral:rRNA from 1 species